rnacentral:rRNA from 1 species
GUGGAGGAACACCAGUGGCGAAGGCGACUCUCUGGUCUGUAACUGACGCUGAGGCGCGAAAGCGUGGGGAGCGAACAGGAUUAGAUACCCUGGUAGUCCACGCCGUAAACGAUGAGUGCUAAGUGUUAGAGGGUUUCCGCCCUUUAGUGCUGCAGCAAACGCAUUAAGCACUCCGCCUGGGGAGUACGGUCGCAAGACUGAAACUCAAAGGAAUUGACGGGGGCCCGCACAAGCGGUGGAGCAUGUGGUUUAAUUCGAAGCAACGCGAAGAACCUUACCAGGUCUUGACAUCCUCUGACAACCCUAGAGAUAGGGCUUCCCCUUCGGGGGCAGAGUGACAGGUGGUGCAUGGUUGUCGUCAGCUCGUGUCGUGAGAUGUUGGGUUAAGUCCCGCAACGAGCGCAACCCUUGAUCUUAGUUGCCAGCAUUCAGUUGGGCACUCUAAGGUGACUGCCGGUGACAAACCGGAGGAAGGUGGGGAUGACGUCAAAUCAUCAUGCCCCUUGUGACCUGGGCUA